CCUCACUCUCCAUUCUGGACCCUGACGGUGAAUGGAGCAAGGGAGCUCGGCCGUACAGACGGAGAGGGCCUGAAGAAAGCGGAAACAGAAGACCAAAAAAAGCUGAUUGGUCAUUUUCGAGUUCCCUUCUGGCAAGGCAGAGAGACCGACGGGAAAAUCAUUGCUGAGUCCAUACAGGCGCUUUCAGACAGAACUCCGCCAGCCCUGCCCUGGGGUUGCUCCAGACCGGGAAGAGGAGAAAGCGUGUACAGCCCACGUGUCUUCAGAGGUCUACACCGGGCGUCCCUGCCGUGCUGGAAGACGGGCUCCCAGCUCCUGCCAACUCAGCCUCCAGCCAGCCUCUGUCUCCGCCUCCUGGGGAGGGCUGAGAGUGCGGCCAGGGACAGCAAGACACCUCCCUGGUCCGGCCUCGUCCUUGGCCACAACCCAAAAGCUCUGGAAAUACUGACCCUGCUCCGGCCCGCAGCUUCUGGGGCUCCCUGCUUCCUACUUCUCCAUUCCAAUGCGGGGUGCAGGGCGGGGGCCUUUGGCAGAGCCUGGGGGAGGAAGGAGGAAGCCAGGGCCCACGGAGGCAGAGAGGACACCUUGUUUUUGCACCGUGGGAGGAGGGGAUUUCUCGGCCCUGCUUCCUGGGAGCCGCCUGGAGGGGGGGAUUUGGCAAUCCUGCCCCUCUUCCCACCUGGCCUCCUGUCUCAUGGGGCUGCCUUCCCAGAGUCACACCAGCCAUCACAACGGGGCUUUGUGUCCCAGAGACAAAGAGCACACUCCUCACCUGUAGCCCGAGCCAGGGACCUGUCCGCGUCGCCCCAGCCCUGGACUCAGAAGGGACAGCGACUUCCUUCCCUGCAGGGGCAGCUGAGGGCUCCAGACAGACAGCUCUGCCUCGUGGGCGGGGCUGGAGGAGCACAGGGCCGGCGUGGAUGGGGAAGGAAGGAGCCGAGGCCCCUGGCACUGAGGGGCAGAGGAAGUGGCUGCCAGCUGGCUCUGAUCCUGCCGAGGGGAACCGAAUUCACGUAGCCCAGCAAGCGUGUUUUCAGUGUUCUGUGCCAAGCAGUGUGGGAGGCGCGGCAUGAAUCAGACAUUGUCCCUGACAUUUAGGAGAUAAGACGAGCGUGUAAAUCACCGCAGGACAAGGUGACGGUAGAGCAAGGUGGCGGAGCGGUGUGAAGGGGGCCGCUGAUGAUGCACCAAUUCUUUUUUCUUUUCUUUUCUUUUCUUUUCUUUUCUUUUCUUUUCUUUUCUUUUCUUUUCUUUUUCUUUUUGUCUUUUUGAGAUAGGGUCUCGCUAUGCAGUUCAGGCUGGACUUGAGCUCACUUUGUAGCCGAGGCUGGCCUCGAACUCACAACAAUCCUCCUGCCUCAGCGUCCCGAGUGCUGGGAUUACAGACAUGUGCCACCAUGCCCGGCGCACCAAUUGUUUUCUGAUUUCUUUUUCUUUUUCUUUUUUGGUGGUGGUAGGCAGGAUCUGUGUCACCCAGGAUGGCCCUAAAUGCCCAGGCUCAGGCAGUCCUCCUGCCUCAGCCUCCUAAGUAGCUGGCACAACUGCAAUCCGCCUCACUGGGGUUUAUUAUCUGAUUUUAAAGAAAGCACUUGGCACUGAGUCUUAGAAAACACCCAGCUCCCCUACCAUGCACCCCUACUUUAUUGUCUGCACAGCUCACCUUCCUCCCUGUUCCCCCAAGAGGACCUUAUUCAGCUGUGUGUCACUUUUGUCUUUCCCUCUCUGCUGACAGCACCAGAAGACCAGGCCUGGGCUGUCGCCUAACCAUGUCCCCACGGCCCAGGACAUAGUAGGUGCUCAAUACACACUAGCUAAAUAUCAACAUGUUAUAUAUACACAUAUCAUAUUGUAUGUAUCAAGAUCAUAUUGUACAUACGGUUGAACGGCUGUUUGACCCCUAUCGCUUAUGUUUUUCGGUGUUCUCCUGCUGUGAAAUAUUCUUUGAGGGCUAGAGAUGUUGCUCAGUAGCAGACAGCUUGCCUGGCACCGUACAGGUGCUGUUGAUCCCCAGCACUGCAAAAUAAAUAUUAAUAAAUAGAC
ensembl:lincRNA